rnacentral:rRNA from 1 species
UGGGGAAUUUUGGACAAUGGGCGAAAGCCUGAUCCAGCAAUGCCGCGUGUGUGAAGAAGGCCUUCGGGUUGUAAAGCACUUUUGUCCGGAAAGAAAUCCUUGGCUCUAAUACAGUCGGGGGAUGACGGUACCGGAAGAAUAAGCACCGGCUAACUACGUGCCAGCAGCCGCGGUAAUACGUAGGGUGCAAGCGUUAAUCGGAAUUACUGGGCGUAAAGCGUGCGCAGGCGGUUUGCUAAGACCGAUGUGAAAUCCCCGGGCUCAACCUGGGAACUGCAUUGGUGACUGGCAGGCUAGAGUAUGGCAGAGGGGGGUAGAAUUCCACGUGUAGCAGUGAAAUGCGUAGAGAUGUGGAGGAAUACCGAUGGCGAAGGCAGCCCCCUGGGCCAAUACUGACGCUCAUGCACGAAAGCGUGGGGAGCAAACAGGAUUAGAUACCCUGGUAGUCCACGCCCUAAACGAUGUCAACUAGUUGUUGGGGAUUCAUUUCCUUAGUAACGUAGCUAACGCGUGAAGUUGACCGCCUGGGGAGUAC